rnacentral:rRNA from 1 species
CACGUAGGGUGCGAGCGUUGUCCGGAAUUAUUGGGCGUAAAGAGCUCGUAGGCGGCUUGUCGCGUCUGCUGUGAAAACGCGAGGCUCAACCUCGCGCCUGCAGUGGGUACGGGCAGACUGGAGUGCGGUAGGGGAGACUGGAAUUCCUGGUGUAGCGGUGGAACGCGCAGAUAUCAGGAGGACCACCGAUGGCGAAGGCAGGUCUCUGGGCCACUACUGACGCUGAGAAGCGAAAGCAUGGGGAGCGAACAGG